rnacentral:lncRNA from 1 species
GACCUCAGUGAACAUUUGUGGAACUGACCCACGCUGGGCUGGGCGCUGCCUCUCUUCUUGGCAAGGAGAAGAUGGGCCACAAAACGGGAGAUCUCAGCCGCCCAGGCGACCCCUCCCCAGGUGUGGAUGCGGUCCUCAGAGCAGGAUCGAGGGAACUGAGACUGAGCUGCACUUCCUACCUGAGUGGGGGGCCACCUGUGCACAUGGCCAGCGCUUCCCUGGGUUUCUCCUUCUGCUGUCCCCCUGAGCUCCAUGCACCAGGUGUGGACGCAGCACCUGCUGGAGGUGAGUCAAGCUCUCCAGGAGGAGUGCAGGGGGAUGGGGGGCCUCCUCCACUCAGCCCGGGGUUAUCUGCUCUCAGUCCGAGGCUGCAGCCUCUCCUCCAGGACUAACUGCCUUUAAGGACUGCCCUCCCCACCCCAGCAAAGGCCCACUGCCCCGCUGAACCCGGAGACCCCUCCUCCCCGACCCCCAGCUCUUUCUCAGCCCCCAGGUCCCAGUUGUCUGCAAGCUCCAGGCAAAACCUGGACUCUCUUUCCAGAGCCACAUGCCAACGCACCACCUUUGACACAGCAGUGCCCCACCUGAGAGUCUACCCUAAGGGAAUAACCCUCAAAAACUGAAAAAGCUGGGCGGCCCCGGUGGCUCAGUGGUUUAAGUGCCACCUUCAGCCUGGGGUAUGAUCCUGGAGACCCGGGAUCGAGUCCCGAGUCCCGCGUCAGGCUCCCUGCAUGGAGCCUGCUUCUCCCUCUGCCUGUGUCUCUGCUUCUCUCUCUCUGUUUCUCAUGAAUAAAUAAAUAAAAUCUUAAAACAAAAACUGAAAAAGCUCUUGGAACAAAGUAUUUCUGAAAGCAGGGAACUGGAAGCAGCUGGGGAGCAGCAGCACGCCCAUUGUAAAAGCUAAUUGUGAGCACGAUUGCAACACCGGGAAUCGCUAAAGAUACAGCGUUGAGUGCAAAAUUGCAUUGGGCGGGAGUUCAGCGGUGGAAAAGUUGUAUAUUUGCCCCUACAAGGGCCAGACGGGGAAAAAAAAAAAAGAGAAAAAAAAAAAAGAAAAGAAAACCAGUAUGCCC